rnacentral:rRNA from 1 species
CAGCAGCCACGGUAAUACGAAGGGGGCUAGCGUUGUUCGGAUUUACUGGGCGUAAAGCGCACGUAGGCGGAUCUUUAAGUCAGGGGUGAAAUCCCGAGGCUCAACCUCGGAACUGCCUUUGAUACUGGAGAUCUCGAGUCCGGGAGAGGUGAGUGGAACUGCGAGUGUAGAGGUGAAAUUCGUAGAUAUUGGGAAGAACACCGGUGGCGAAGGCGGCGACCUGGUCCUUUACUGACGCUGAGGCGCGAAAGCGUGAGGAGCAAACAGGAUUAGAUACCCGAGUAGUCCCUGUCUCUUAUAC